rnacentral:misc_RNA from 1 species
UACGGGGGGGGCAAGCGUUGUUCGGAAUUACUGGGCGUAAAGGGCUCGUAGGCGGCCAACUAAGUCACACGUGAAAUCCCACGGCUCAACCGUGGAACUGCGUGUGAGACUGGAUGGCUUGAGUGUGGGAGAGGAAUGCGGAAUUCCAGGUGUAGCGGUGAAAUGCGUAGAUAUCUGGAGGAACACCGGUGGCGAAGGCGGCAUUCUGGACCAUUACUGACGCUGAGGAGCGAAAGCCAGGGGAGCAAACGGG